AUGGUAUUCCAGAAGACACUCACCCCGAAUUCAUCUCAGCCACAUGUUUCACUAAAAUCAGAAGCCUCCUCAUUUGUGGGGCGGCCACAGUCCCUGCUGACACAGGACCUGGGAUGGAGCCAAAAGACAGGGUCAGAGACACGGAGAUGGAGGAGGGAUUUGUCUCUGGCUGCCCAACGUCAGGGCUUGGACUGGAAUCUGGGAGCCCCAACCCUACCCCUGCUUGUUUCUGGAAUAUGUAGAACUUGGAUAUUUAUAGAUGCCUGGAAACAGGAGAGAGACCCAGAACUAACAAAGGCUUCUGACAGAGCAGCUGGCCCGGCGCCUUGCUCAGAGGUGUGCACAGGUGAGUGCCUUUAGGCGCCGACCUGAGCAGAGGCUGAGAGUUAGAGCAGAGCGCAGUGGGAGCCCUUUUUUUUCCAGGAACACAGAUUAACUGGCUCAGACGCUGUGGGAAAGGGAAGGUAGGUUGUGCAACGCGCAGGUGGCCCUGGGCACAGCAGUGACCAGCGUCAAUGUCAAGGCUGUUUUCCUCUGGGCUGUGCCCCCCGCCGGGUUCACGGGGCCCGUGGCCAAGUCAAACAGGGCUGCCCACGCUCAGGGCAGGCUGCACUGGCUCCGGGCGCUCCCAGGGACCAGAGCAUCAGACUC
rnacentral:lncRNA from 12 species